rnacentral:rRNA from 1 species
AGCUCCAAUAGCGUAUAUUAAAGUUGUUGCAGUUAAAAAGCUCGUAGUUGGAUCUCGGGUACUAGCAUGUGGUACGCAUAACUGCUGAUAAUACAUGUCUGGUCCUAAUCAAUCGGUUGGAAGUUGAUGUCAUUCAUUGGGGGUUUUCGGUAGCCGGUACGUUUACUUUGAGAAAAUUAGAGUGCUUAAAGCAGGCUAUAGGCCUGAAUAAUGUUGCAUGGAAUAAUAGAAUAGGACCUCGGUGCUAUUUUGUUGGUUUUGUAGAGCAUUGAGGUAAUGAUUAAUAGGGACAGACGGGGGCAUUCGUAUUGCGGUGUUAGAGGUGAAAUUCUUGGAUCGCCGCAAGACGAACAACUGCGAAAGCAUUUGCCAAGAAUGUUUUCA